UCUAGAGCGAGAUAAGGGCGUUCGGUGGAUGCCUUGGCGCCAAGAGGCGAUGAAGGACGUGGCACGCUGCGAAAAGCCGCGGGGAGAUGCGAGCGAUCGUUGAUCCGCGGAUGUCCGAAUGGGGAAACCCCUCCCGCAAGGGAGAUCCUGGACUGAAUACAUAGGUCCAGGAGGCAAACCCGGGGAACUGAAACAUCUCAGUACCUGGAGGAAAAGACAUCAACAGAGAUUCCGCGAGUAGUGGCGAGCGAAAGCGGAGUAGGCCAGUGGUCAGCAAGAGAGAAGCCGAAGGAUCUGGAAAGGUCCGCCGCAGUGGGUGACAGCCCCGUAGGUGUAGAGGCUUGCUGAUCCUUGAGUAGGGCGGGGCACGUGAAACCCUGUCUGAACAUGGGGGGACCACCCUCCAAGCCUAAAUACUCCUUGGCGACCGAUAGUGCACAAGUACCGUGAGGGAAAGGUGAAAAGCACCCCGACGAGGGGAGUGAAAGAGACCUGAAACCGGACGCCUACAAGCAGUCGGAGCCCAUCCUUUCGCAAGAGAGGGGGUGACGGCGUACCUUUUGUAUAAUGGGUCCGCGAGUUCGUGUUCGUGGCAAGCUUAAGCCGAUAGGUGCAGGCGCAGCGAAAGCGAGUCCGAAAUGGGCGCUUAGUCACGGGCAUGAGACCCGAAACCGAGUGAUCUAGCCAUGGCCAGGCUGAAGGUGGGGUAACACCUACUGGAGGGCCGAACCCACGCCUGUUGAAAAAGUCGGGGAUGAGCUGUGGCUAGGGGUGAAAGGCCAAUCAAACUCGGAAAUAGCUGGUUCUCCGCGAAAUCUAUUGAGGUAGAUCGUCAUGUGUUUACCGCCGGAGGUAGAGCACCGGAUGGGCUAGGGGGACCCAAAGUCCUACCAAACCCAACCGAACUCCGAAUGCCGGUGAGUAUAGCGUGGCAGACAGACAGUGGGUGCUAAGGUCCAUUGUCGAGAGGGAAACAGCCCAGACCACCAGCUAAGGUCCCCAAAUGAUGGCUAAGUGGGAAAGCAUGUGGGACGGCCAAAACAACCAGGAGGUUGGCUUAGAAGCAGCCAUCCUUUAAAGAAAGCGUAAUAGCUCACUGGUCUAAUAGCUGUUCUGCGGCGAAAAUGUAACGGGGCUCAAGCCAUCUACCGAAGCUGUGGGUGUGCAGCAAUGCACGCGGUAGCGGAGCGUUCCCUAGGCCUGUGAAGCGGUACCGGUGACGGGCCGUGGAGGUAUGGGAAGUGCGAAUGCGGACAUGAGUAGCGACAAGGAG
rnacentral:rRNA from 1 species